rnacentral:misc_RNA from 1 species
UAUAUUUUGCUGCUGUUGCUGUUGCUGUUGGGUUUGGCCUGCAGAGAAAUGAUGGAGAGGAAGGUCUUGAGAAAGAUUGUGAUGAAACGCCAUGUUUAAAUUGUUUCUCGUUUUGUAUUAGUAUCUGAAACAAAGCAAUCAAGAAAGAAAAGCCGAUUAUAAAAGCAUGGAUAUAGAUAGAAAGAGAGAGAGAUAACAAGGGAGUGAGAAAGCAAGGUUGCAUAAAAGAAGAAAAUGAUGGAGAGAGAUAGGUUUCUUACAGGUGCAGACUAUAUAGAGAAAGAGAAAGGGGGGAGAGAGAGAAGACUGGUGGUUGGUACUUGAUGCAGUAGAAACAGUGAAAGUAAAAACUAUAGAGAGUCAAAGAAACGCAGAGAUCAUGGUCCUUUUUAACACAGAUUAUCCUCUACUGUCUCUGUGUCUGUACAGAGAGAUGUAUGAAGAUGAUGAUGUUAUACAUAUGGGCUUGUGAUAAAACGUAUCAGGAACAAGAAGGUUGCUUAGAGAGAGAGAGAGUGGGGACCUAGCUAGGAAGAGAGCUGGAGGAGAAAGAAAA